rnacentral:rRNA from 1 species
AUCCGGAGUUACUGGGCGUAAAGGGCGUGUAGGUGGUUACGUAAGUCUGGCGUGAAAUUUUUCGGCUUAACCGGGAAAGGUCGUCGGAUACUGCGGGACUAGAGGACGGUAGAGGCGUGUGGAAUUCCGGGUGUAGUGGUGAAAUGCGUAGAGAUCCGGAGGAACACCAGUGGCGAAGGCGGCUUUCUGGACAAAAACUGACGCUGAGGCGCGAAAGCUAGGGGAGCAAACAGG